GACGAACGCUGGCGGCGUACUUAACACAUGCAAGUCGAACGGAAAGGCCCUGCUUUUGUGGGGUGCUCGAGUGGCGAACGGGUGAGUAACACGUGAGUAACCUGCCCUUGACUUUGGGAUAACUUCAGGAAACUGGGGCUAAUACCGGAUCGGAGCUCCUGCUGCAUUGUGGGGGUUGGAAAUUUUCGGCGGUUGGGGAUGGACUCGCGGCUUAUCAGCUUGUUGGUGGGGUAGUGGCUUACCCAGGCUUUGACGGGUAGCCGGCCUGAGAGGGUGACCGGCCACAUUGGGACUGAGAUAGGGCCCAGACUCCUACGGGAGGCAGCAGUGGGGAAUAUUGUACAAUGGGCGGAAGCCUGAUGCAGCAACGCCGCGUGCGGGAUGACGGCCUUCGGGUUGUAAACCGCUUUCGCCUGUGACGAAGCGUGAGUGACGGUAAUGGGUAAAGAAGCACCGGCUAACUACGCG
rnacentral:rRNA from 1 species